CUCUGGACUAAGAGCAUGGACAUUGCAGACAAGAUAUUCCAUAUUGACUUCAUGCAGCAUAUGCAAAACAACAGCCUGCAUGAUAGGAAGAUACACAAGUUACAAAAGUUUGGACACGUUACUUCUCCAGUAUUUCAUUAGCCAUGGUGUUGGUCUGGCUUCUUACAGAGCGGCGAAGGCGAAAGACCUUAUCUGCUUUGGUGUAGCUCUUCUGCCCUGAGCCAGGAUGUGGGUGUGGCUGUCUAACAAUACGGACAUACCUAAAACCAAUGUCUACUACACAUGGAAAGUAGACAAUAUGGGUGGCCAUCCUGAAAAGCAUUUACAAAGCUUUACUGAACAAAUAUCUAACCACAACUGAACAAAUCAGCAAUACCACUGUUCUGCAUGCAAAUGCAGAAUGAGCAUGACUUCUUUGUCACUUAAAACCAUGUUAUGUUCAUCUUUAUAUGUUUAAUUAACAGUUUAAUUAAAGAUAGCAUGGCUUUUUAUUUGUUUAAAAUUAUGAAUGGUAUGCCAUGAUGUUAAAGAUGUAGAUUAAUAAAAAUAUUUUUAAACGGUUAAAACAGACAUUUUAAAUACAAUCAGUCCUUUUAAAAUUUAACGUUUGUGUAAAUAAAAUAUGCCUCACUUUUGACUAAAA